CUCAACUGUUUUAGGGUAAAAUGACCAUGGCGGUCAAUAUGGCAUAUGUGCCAAAACCUGAAUCCGGGAUGAAAGUCCUGAAAAUGACCCCGCCCUGAAACGGCAGUUCUGACAUAGCUCUAACUUCCGAAAAGCAAAAGCGAGCCGACAGCCUUUCUGAAGUGCUUAUAGUGUUUAGAAGGGUUGCUUUUAGGGGUGAUUAUUCAGUGGAAGGAAAAAUUUGUCUAAGGG